rnacentral:rRNA from 1 species
UACGGGGGGGGCAAGCGUUGUUCGGAAUUACUGGGCGUAAAGGGCUCGUAGGUGGCCAACUAAGUCAGACGUGAAAUCCCUCGGCUUAACCGGGGAACUGCGUCUGAUACUGGAUGGCUUGAGAUUGGGAGAGGGAUGCGGAAUUCCAGGUGUAGCGGUGAAAUGCGCAGAUAUCAGGAGGAACACCGGUGGCGAAGGCGGGUCUCUGGGCCGAUACUGACGCUGAGGAGCGAAAGCGUGGGGAGCGAACAGG